UACGUAGGGUGCAAGCGUUAAUCGGAAUUACUGGGCGUAAAGCGUGCGCAGGCGGUUAUGCAAGACAGAUGUGAAAUCCCCGGGCUUAACCUGGGAACCGCAUUUGUGACUGCAUAGCUGGAGUACGGCAGAGGGGGAUGGAAUUCCGCGUGUAGCAGUGAAAUGCGUAGAGAUGUGGAGGAACACCGAUGGCGAAGGCAGCCUCCUGGGCCAAUACUGACGCUCAUGCACGAAAGCGUGGGGAGCAAACAGG
rnacentral:rRNA from 1 species